rnacentral:misc_RNA from 1 species
UUCGAAACCAAUAAAUCAAAGCUUAUUAACAAUAAAAAAUCAAAUACCAAAAAUCAAAACUUGUUUCUGCUGUUAUUCCUUUUUGAGAGAAAAAUACUAAUUUUCUAAUAAUUUAUUAUUUAAGUCAUUAAUUUCACUAUAUUAUUUUUAUAAACCACAUUAAAAACUUGUACACCUAGAGGGCAAAACCUAUACUUCAAAGCUAGAAUGCGAGCGAAUGUUGGGGCAAAACCUAUACGUCCUGUGAUAACUGGAAGCGGUUGGAGGCUUUCAUUUUGUGGAUGCUUUGUAAGGCCAGAAACGUUUCGUUCAGAAACCAAGAUAGGUCCAUUUCUGACAUUCUCAAUCAAGCAUCCAAGCAAUUAGAGGAAUUUCAAACAGUGAUGGACGACAACAGAGUCGUUUUUGAAGGAGACUAUCAGCCAGCUAGUGAGGCAGCCUCAAAAUGAUGCAUCUUCACUUCCUAGUAGAGAUUUUCUGAACCUUGGACUACUAGUAGGAACAGCCCUUCCGUAUUAAACACCAGAAUUGGUUGUUCCGAUUGACUACUUUGUAAUCAUCCAAACUAUACAUUUGUAUUUAUAACUCAACAUAAUAAUCUUUGGCAAGCGUAAGAAGUUUUCUUCAUAAAUUAUCUUCCUAACAUGGAAAUACCCACACCUGCACCUAAAAACCAGACAAUCCAGAAAAGUGCUUAUUCAUAGCUCUAUCCUUCCUGUAAUUGUUACUUCCUCUUCCCCUCCUUCCCCUGCCCCUGGGAUUUCCGGCAUUUCCUCUCCCUUGCAUCUCAGAACCAUCAGAUUGGUCA